rnacentral:lncRNA from 1 species
CAGCGCAGCUCUAGCUUAGAAAACUUUGUCGCGAAAAGAAAUUGAAAACCCAAACCGAGCUACGUCUACAUUGAAAUUAUGGCACUGCUGUGGGGAGCAGCUGCAGCAGCAGUCGGAGGGCUGCUCGUAGCCAACAUGGACUUCUGGUUGCCUAGGGGUGGAGCAGCGACCACGGAGGCCUACCUAGCAGGAGCCGUUCUCCAGCUCCUGGGGGAGACGAAGCUCCAGGCUCAGCUUAGCUUAGUGGACGAGGCGGUGAGGACAUUCAAGGCCCAAGGAUCUGUGGAAGGAUACAGGAGCUGUGGUCCUGGCUGUGCGCAGGCCUGGAUGAUCUUUGUGCAGAGAGGAAGCUAAAGAGCUGUCCUCUCUGAAGCCGGAGCUGGAUGCCCUUGGUAUCCCGCUCUACGCUGUACUCCUAGAACCGGGAGGCUACAAAGAGUUCUUGCCUUUCUUCUCCGGUGAAGUCUUCCUUGAUACAGAGAUGAGGUUUUACGGAGAGGAGAAGCGAAACAUGAGCCUUGUGGGUCUUCUUCGUAUCUCAACCCUGCUCCAAGUCAGAGAAAACAAGAAACAGGGUAUUCAAGGGAACUAUAUAGGUAAUGGUCUCACACUAGGUGGCAUCUUUGUUAUUGGACCUGGUGAUCAGGGAGUACUCCUGGAGUAUCGCAAUAAGGACUUUAGCGAUCACGCAUCAAAUGAGAAAGUGCUGGAGGCAGUUAAGAACAUUGCCCCUUCUGCCCCUAUUACCGCUAAAGUAUCACCAAAGUUGUAACCCCUCCAAACUUAUGACCCUUUUUAUAACUCCUGGGGAGUGUUUCACAAAGACUAAGAUCAACUUUAAUUUGGACUUGAACUAUGGCAGGCGAUUUAUGCCCUUAAAAAUUCUUGAACCAGUUGUAAAAUUAGAGGGAAAAAAUCUUAGAAAUUUUGAUCUUUAGAUACUGUUUUUUUCUGUGAAUAAUAAACUACCGGGUAUCCAAAAAUGUGAAUUCUGUAGAUUUGUGAAGUCCCUUGAGAGACCAAUAGUGAGUGCAACCAGUGGCAUGAAUUGCCUGUCAUAGUUAAGUCCAACUGAAAGUCGAUCUUUAAUAGUCUUUGUGUAACACCCCCCUGCUGCCACUAACGAAUCACCAAAGUUGUAAACCUUCCAACCUUAGUAAUGAUAACAGUUUUGAUUAUCUAGGAGCACUAAAAACAAAAUGUAUCAUGGCACUUACAAAAUCGUAGAAUGUGAAGAGAAAUAUAUGAAAGUAAUAAAAUAGGUAUAGAUCAUUUAUAUUUCUGAGGGAAGAGAUAUACUUUAACGGAUCUUUUGAAAGUUGGCAAGACAAAUUAAUUAUCUGAUGUAAAGUGGGAUAUUGUUCCAUUUUGACCUAUACAUAGCUCCUAAUGCUUCUAGCAUCUCCCCAAAGUUGGCACUAUUCUGACCUUUGACCUUUAAUCCAAAUAAAUGCAUUCAACAUUUCAAUGAUUUGAAAUCCUCAACAUUUCAUGAUGAGAAUUAUCUUGCCUCAUAUCCAAACAAGCUUUACUUAACACAUCUGUUGAUGUCAUAGAUCAAGAAAUUCAAUAAUUGUGUCUAGUUUUGACAAAAUUGGUUUCAAAUGAACUCAUAUUCAGGUAUAAUUGUGUGUGUGAUGUGAUUAAUGUUAGAACUUAAAGAAUGCUACAAAAAAAGACACAAGUGCAAAUUAUAGCAUAUUAUUCAGCCCUAACUUGAACAGUAUGAUUUUCAGUUAAAUUUGUCUUUAUUUCGGUUUGUUAAUUUUGUUUUAUUCAUCAUUAUGAUUGUUUUUUCUUGUUUUAAAUACUUUUUAUAAUGGAAUCAGAUGUGGUACUACUACUGUUUAUUUCUACUAUCCAUGUAUACACCAAUUUGAUCUUGUGGCAGGUACAUGUUCCUUUCUAUAGCCAACUCCAUUCAUGUAUACAUCACGAAUGACGACCCUAUUCUAAACACUAUCCUAGUGCUGAUAAGGUCUGAUGUAAAACAGAUGUGUCACAGAAUUUUGAUUUUGGUUUACAGAAAGAUGAACAUGUAGCUGCUUUCGACGUCAAUAGUUUUGUUGUGAUUAGGACAAUGUAGAUGUAUGAGGAUUAUAUUUUAUGAAUGACAAAUAAUAUAUCAAUGACUGUACUUUACACUGAAGAAAGAGA